AGCAGUAGCCGCGGUAAUACGUAGGGGGCAAGCGUUGUCCGGAAUUAUUGGGCGUAAAGCGCGCGCAGGCUGUCAUGUAAGUCUGGUGUUUAAUCCCGGGGCUCAACCCCGGAUCGCACUGGAAACUGCGUGACUUGAGUGCAGAAGAGGAGAGUGGAAUUCCACGUGUAGCGGUGAAAUGCGUAGAGAUGUGGAGGAACACCAGUGGCGAAGGCGACUCUCUGGGCUGUAACUGACGCUGAGGCGCGAAAGCGUGGGGAGCAAACAGGAUUAGAUACCCCCGUAGUCCCUGUCUCUUAUACA
rnacentral:rRNA from 1 species